GACAGACUGGAUGUGAGAUGUGGCAGAGAGAGAAGAUUCAUAGCUAACUCUAAGACUUUUGACCUGAGCAGAUGAAAGGAUGCAGUUACCAUGAAGGCUGCAGAUGAGGUAGGUUAGAAAAGUAAGAUCUGGAAUUCUCUAUGAGAUCUAUUCAGUUUGAGAUACCCAGUAGAUAUUCGAGUGGAGAUGUUGACUAGAUAGUUAGAUAUGUGAGUCAGGAGUUCAAGAGAGAGGCUUGAGUUGGAGAAAUACAUUUAUGAGUUUUCAGAUUAGAGGUGGCAUUUAUGGCCCAGGAAACAGAUGAGAUUUUUAAGAAAGUGAGUGUGGAGAGAGAAGAAAAACAGGCUCAGGACAGAGCCUGGGCAUUCCAACACUGAGAGGUUAGACAGUAAAGGCCAAAUCAGCCAGAUACUGAGAAGAAACAGAAGAAAACCAAGAGGGUAUGCUGUCCUGGCAACCAAGUGUAGAGGGUGCAACCAGGAGGAGGGAAUGAUCCGUGUCAUAAAAUGCUGCUGGUCAGAAGAGCUGAACCUAGAUGAGCUAUCAAUCAAAAAAUGCUUGCACGACCUUCUACAAAAUAACCUGCCUAUACUUUUCAAAACAUCAUGGACAUGAAAGACGAAGAAAGACUGAAGGACUGCUCUAGAUUAAGGAUACCUAAAGAGACAUGAUGACUACAUGCAAUGUGUGAUCCCCAAUAGGAUACUGGUCCACAGGGAAUUUUUUU
rnacentral:lncRNA from 10 species